GAUGAACGCUGGCGGCGUGCCUAAUACAUGCAAGUCGAGCGAACGGACGAGAAGCUUGCUUUUCUGAUGUUAGCGGCGGACGGGUGAGUAACACGUGGAUAACCUACCUAUAAGACUGGGAUAACUUCGGGAAACCGGAGCUAAUACCGGAUAAUAUUUUGAACCGCAUGGUUCAAAAGUGAAAGACGGUCUUGCUGUCACUUAUAGAUGGAUCCGCGCUGCAUUGGCUAGUUGGUAAGGUAACGGCUUACCAAGGCAACGAUGCAUAGCCGACCUGAGAGGGUGAUCGGCCACACUGGAACUGAGACACGGUCCAGACUCCUACGGGAGGCAGCAGUAGGGAAUCUUCCGCAAUGGGCGAAAGCCUGACGGAGCAACGCCGCGUGAGUGAUGAAGGUCUUCGGAUCGUAAAACUCUGUUAUUAGGGAAGAACAGAUGUGUAAGUAACUGUGCACAUCUUGACGGUACCUAAUCAGAAAGCCACGGCUAACUACGUG
rnacentral:rRNA from 1 species